UACGAAGGGUGCAAACGUUGCUCGGAAUCAUUGGGCGUAAAGGGCUCGUAGGCGGCCAACUAAGUCAUACGUGAAAUCCCUCGGCUUAACCGGGGAACUGCGUCUGAUACUGGAUGGCUUGAGAUUGGGAGAGGGAUGCGGAAUUCCAGGUGUAGCGGUGAAAUGCGUAGAUAUCUGGAGGAACACCGGUGGCGAAGGCGGCAUCCUGGACCAACACUGACGCUGAGGAGCGAAAGCCAGGGGAGCAAACGGG
rnacentral:rRNA from 1 species